rnacentral:rRNA from 1 species
GUGCCAGCAGCCUUCGGUAAUUCCAGCUCCAAUAGCGUAUAUUAAAGUUGUUGUGGUUAAAAAGCUCGUAGCUGAACCUUGGGCCUGGCUGGCCGGUCCGCCUCACCGCGUGCACUGGUCCGGCCGGGCCUUUCCCUCUGUGGAACCCCAUACCCUUCACUGGGCGUGGCGGGGAAACAGGACAUUUACUUUGAAAAAAUUAGAGUGCUCCAGGCAGGCCUAUGCUCGAAUACAUUAGCAUGGAAUAAUAAAAUAGGACGCGCGGUUCUAUUUUGUUGGUUUAUAGGACCGCCGUAAUGAUUAAUAGGGACAGUCGGGGGCAUCAGUAUUCAACUGUCAGAGGUGAAAUUCUUGGAUCAGUUGAAGACUAACUACUGCGAAAGCAUUUGCCAAGGAUGUUUUCAUUAAUCAGGAACGAAAGUUAGGGGAUCGAAGACGAUCAGAUACCGUCGUAGUCUUAACCAUAAACUAUGCCGACUAGGGAUCGGACGGUGUUAUUCAUGACCCGUUCGGGACCUUACGAGAAAUCAAAGUGCUUGGGCUUCCAGGGGGAGUAUGGUCGCAAGGCUGGAAACUUAAAGAAAUUGACGGAAGGGCAGCACCAGGGGUGGAGGCUUGCGGCUUAAAUUUGACUCAUCACCGGGAAACUUCACCAGGUCCAGACACAAUAACGAAUGACAGAUUGAGGAGCUCGUUCCUUGAUAUUGUGCGGUGGUGGGUGCAUGGACGGUCUUAGUUGAGGGCGGGGAGUUGUCUGCUUUACUAUGGGCAUAACAAAAGGAAG